rnacentral:rRNA from 1 species
AUUGAACGCUGGCGGCAUGCCUUACACAUGCAAGUCGAACGGCAGCACGGGGCAACCUGGCGGCGAGUGGCGAACGGGUGAGUAAUGCAUCGGAACGUACCUUUCAGUGGGGGAUAACGUAGCGAAAGUUACGCUAAUACCGCAUAUUCUGUGAGCAGGAAAGCAGGGGAUCGCAGGACCUUGCGCUGAUUGAGCGGCCGAUGUCAGAUUAGCUAGUUGGUGAGGUAAAGGCUCACCAAGGCGACGAUCUGUAGCGGGUCUGAGAGGAUGAUCCGCCACACUGGGACAGGGACACGGUCCAGACUCCUACGGGAGGCAGCAGUGGGGAAUUUUGGACAAUGGGGGCAACCCUGAUCCAGCCAUGCCGCGUGAGUGAAGAAGGCCUUCGGGUUGUAAAGCUCUUUCGGCCGGGAGGAAAUCGCACGGGCUAAUACCCUGUGUGGAUGACGGUACCGGAAUAAGAAGCACCGGCUAACUACGUGCCAGCAGCCGCCGUAAUAC